UACAGAGGUCUCAAGCGUUGUUCGGAUUCGUUGGGCGUAAAGGGUGUGUAGGUGGCGCCGUAAGUCGGGUGUGAAAUUUCGGAGCUUAACUCCGAAACUGCAUUCGAUACUGCGGUGCUUGAGGACUGGAGAGGAGACUGGAAUUCAUGGUGUAGCAGUGAAAUGCGUAGAGAUCAUGAGGAACACCGGUGGCGAAGGCGGGUCUCUGGGCCGAUACUGACGCUGAGGAGCGAAAGCGUGGGGAGCAAACAGG
rnacentral:rRNA from 1 species